GUAUCUUUCCACUUUCCCCCUACUCCUGAAUGUCUAAAGAACUCUCAAUGCAUAUUAGCCAUCACCAUGGUUGAGACCCAGACCUCUGCAGAGACAAUCUUGAUCCUCUGGCUCCUGCUUCACAUUGCCCAUUCACCCUCAGCACUGAAAUCCUUACCUCAAGCGCUGGGAAUUCAGGCCAUGGAAGAUUAGGAGGCUCACAGCAGAUGUGAUCCUGACACCCAGAGAUGCUAAGCCCAAAUGCCCUCAGAAGUCAGGCAGGGAAGGAGAAUAUGUGGAGUAACAUCGUCGUGAUUGGUAUAUGCAAAGACCUCCUGAAAUUACAGGAGCAAACUCCUUCCGCAUCUCGACCUAAUUAAGAUCCGUUACUCAACAGUGAUCAGUCAGAUUUUACUGUAAGAAGGAAGAAAACAAGGAUCCUGCUAGAACAACAUGGAAACAGGACCUACAACAAAGAGAUUUCUCACUGGCUUCCUGGUGGUUCAUUCAAUAGGGAAUUCCUGCAGCAAGUUGGAGGGAGGGAGGAGAAGCAGGGAGGCCACCUCCUGUCAAAGCUGGGACAUCUGAGAGACAGUGGUCACACAACAACUCAACUGCAUGUGCACCUAAAACACACUGAUUCCAUGAACAGAGAUUCAUGCCACUGUGUAGUCUGCAACAAAACAUUGAAGAUGGUUUCCAAUAUCCAGAUGGACAGGCUGACCAUGAGUGCAAAUCUUCUUGUCCUUAGGAAAAAAAACUUCAAAGGGUAGACAACAGCCAAAUACCGAUCAACGGCAAUGCAGGAAAGACACACACAGAGAUCCAAUAUUGGCUGGAAUGCUGACUAUAAUCACAAAGAUGUAAACAAUGGGAAACAAAUAGUGAUCCAGGUCAUGCUGUUCUUCAAUACAUGUGCUGUUCAUUUUUUCCUUUUUAAGGGUGGAUGUAGAUCAAUUUUUACA
rnacentral:lncRNA from 1 species